rnacentral:tRNA from 1 species
GGGUAUAGCGCAGAGGGAGAGCACGUGCCUAGCACGCACGAGGUUCUGGGUUCAAUCGCCAGUACCUCCA